GCUGCUGGCUUCAUGAAAGUGCAGAAGAAGGGAGACGUUCUGCUCUUUCAAGCGACCGUGAAGGGAGAGAGUCGUAUCUUCAGGCUGCAGUUUGACGGGGCCAGCAGACCGGAGGCCCUAGAGCGGUGUGAGAGGGCGGUGAUACGGCUGCAGGACUUCCUGCCGGUGGGCAGCCAGGAGAAGCCAGCGCCCCCUACAGGCAGCAGUAGCACACAGCUCCCCCUACAGGCCGAGCAGUCAUGUCCAGCAGACUCCGCUGCAGAAGUCCAGGGGUCUCUCUCCCUCAAGCGUCUCUCUCAGCACUUCCUGGGUGAGGGUCGUCUCUCUCUUCCGCUGGUGUACCGAGACUGCGGCCCUCUGGCCCCCGCCGACCUGGAGCUGCUCAGGCUGUGUCUGAUGGACCCUGCC
rnacentral:lncRNA from 1 species